UCCGUCGCCGGUCCACACCUGCCACCAGUUCGCCAUGGAUGAUGAUAUCGCUGCGAUCGGAGUCAACAACAGCUCCGCCGGCUUUGCGGGCGAUGAUGCUCCCCGGGCUGUCAUCCCCUCCAUUGUGAGCCGCCCUAGGCACCAGGGUGUGAUGGUGGGUAUGGGUCAGGACUCCUACGUGGGAGACGAGGCCCAGAGCAAAAGAGGCAUCCUGACCCUGAAGUACCCCAUUGAACACGGCAUUGUCACCAACUGGGACAAUAUGGAGAAGAUCUGGCACCACACCUUCUACAAUGAGCUGCGUGUAGCCCCUGAGGAGCACCCUGUGCUGCUCACCGAGGCCCCCCUGAAGGUCAACUGUGAAAAGAUGACCCAGAUCAUGUUUGAGACCUUCAACACCCCAGCUAUGUACGUAGCCAUCCAGGCUGUGCUGUCCCUGUAUGCCUCUGGUCGUACCACUGGCAUUGUGAUGGACUCCUGAGACAGGGUCACCCACACUGCGUCCAUCUAUGAGGGCUACGUCUGGACCUGGCUGGUCGGGACCUGACAGACUACCUCAUGAAGAUCCUGACUGAGUGUGGCUACAGCUUUACCACCACAGCUGAGAGGGAAAUCGUGUGUGACAUGAAAGAGAAGCUGUGCUAUGUUGCCCUAGACUUCGAGCAGGAGAUGGCCAGUGCCGCAUCCUCUUCCUCCCUGGAGAAGAGCUAUGAGCUUCCUGAUGGCCGGGUCAUCACUAUUGGCAAUAAGCGGUUCCGAUGCCCAGAGGCUCUUUUCCAGCCUUCCUUCUUGGGUAUGGAAUCCUGUGGCAUCCACGAAACUACAUUCAAUUCUAUCAUGAAGUGUGACGUUGACAACCGUAAAGACCUCUAUGACAACACAGUGCUGUCUGGUAGCACCGCCAUGUACCCAGGCAUUGCUGACUUGAUGUAGAAGGAGAUCACUGCUCUGGCUCCUAGCACCAUGAAGAUCAAAAUCAUUGCUCCUCCUGAGCACAAGUACUCUGUGUGGAUCUGUAGCUCCAUCCUGGCCUCACUGUCCACCUUCCAGCAGAUGUGGAUCAGCAAGCAGGAGUACGAUGAGUCCGGCCCCUCCAUCAUGCACCGCAAAUGCUUCUAGGCGGACUGUUACUGAGCUGCGUUUUUACACCCUUUCUUUGACAAAACCUAACUUGUGCAGAAAAAAAAAA